UUUGGUGUAGUAGGUAGCAUGUCAGUCUGGCAAGCUGAAGGUCCUGAGUUCCAUCCUCUCCUCAGAA
rnacentral:tRNA from 1 species